rnacentral:rRNA from 1 species
AUGGAUGAGAUCUCCAACACUGUUUGCUCGGUCAUUGAUUCGGCGGAGCUGUGCAGGGACACGCACUCAGAUAGGGAGUUUACGGAGGAAGUAGAUAAGGCGUCAAUGACGAAUUAUGAGCAUCUUCAAAUAUUGGUGGUCAUGCCUUUCCCCUCACUUCCCUCCAAGCUUGUCGCCCUCGCCCCCCUCUUUGAGGCAGCCGCCCGCUGCUCAUCUCGGUGGCGUCAGGUGCGGCCGUACCCACCAUGGCAUCGGCGUGGCCCUCCCUGCGAGGAGCGGCGCCUCCUUGGUUGUCCAGAUGAGCACUGGCCACUGGGAAAUGGCAACUUGGUUGAACUGAAUCAGCUCUAA